UCUCUAAGAUCUUUCUCUGGGUUUUUGGCUAGCUUAGUGUUAGCACGCUUGGCAGAUGCUUUCAAAGAACAAAACUUGUGUUAGCAGCAUAAUGCGGUCGUUUCUGUCCGGGAUGCAGUUUUCCACUCCAUCAUUUAUCUUGUCCUUUUGUGCAAUAAAAAUAAGUGCCCAUAUCUCUAGACUACAUCGCUAUUUUCUGGGAACCGGUUUUCUACAAGAACCUGUUCUCAAUUCCCAUAUUCCCAUGUCUACCAACCACUAAACCACAACGUGCUUAAGGCACAUGAUAACUACCAGAAAUCCACUAUUCUCCCUCAGUCACCGCCUCGAGAGGUAUCGUUUUGGUCGAGCACAGCUGUAGAGGAAACAUGGUGGCUACCACUUUCCCUGAGCCACUGUAUUUACUUAAGGGAUUGAAUGAAGACUACUUUGUUCUGGUUCUGUGUCACUAACAUAUGAAGAUGGCAUUAUCCUUUUCCUUUCUCCUGUCGAGAGACUAUGGAGCAGGUGGAGUCAGCCAGGUUAGUCAGAAAUCCACUACCAAUAAGCAGACACACACACGCAGCUUCUCUUGGUGAAGGGCGGGGUAGGGUGAACAUCUACAGGGAAGACUAGAUUAGGGUUAUACAACCAGCUUAAAGCAGCUAUGCACUAGGACACCAAGGCAAGGAAAACCUCUUACCUUGAGCAAAGCAAAAGGACGAGUAAAGGGACAAAUACAACACUAGACAUUGAGAUAUGGGGAUAAAAAUAAAGCCACAAAUCAACAAAGGGGAGUGGGACAUAGGCCCAGUGCAUUUGACAGGAAUAAGUAAAGUGUGUGUGCGUGUCUCCUGACCUUUUUCUUGGUGCAGGAUAGAGUGCGUUAGCUUUCUGCCUGCUGCAAGCAGUAUACGGGUCUAUUUAUAAAUCUCCAGUUCAAAUAGCAACCAGUCUGUUCACAAGCCAACAUGAUAAAAGAACAAACAAACCCAUGUGUGCACAUGAGCAAAUGCGCUGGCAAAAAUGAAGCAAUGGAAAUACAUUUUUACAAUUUAAAUGUUCAAUGGCAGCUGGGGUGCUUUUUGUGGCGAGAAUAACCUCAAAUAAGAUGCAUCCUACAGCAAUUCACACCAGGAAAAAGACUCAACCAGACCAGCAACCAGUGGUCUGAGACAACACACUGACCAGAAACACUUAGAGGCUUAAUCCCACCUUUAUUAACUCUCAGCUCACUAGUUUAAACUGGGCACACAGCCAGCAUCUAGACACCCUGCCAGAAGCUGCUUAAGCACCCUCUGGAACCAAUCAAAAACACAUAUAACAAUGAUAUCAUGAUUACCAAAACUCUUUCCCUUCUCCUUUCCCAGGAAAGUGACACAAAAAUAUUUUAAAGAGAGAGCGCUAUCCAAAAGAGAGAACAAAGUUAAACAAAACAAGACAGAGCAGAAAUACAGAGCCUUUACUGUGGAAUAGACCUGCUCCCUCCGGCAGCCACGGCACUCAAAGGGCAAGAUCCUUCCAGCAAACUGAGCUGUUUACUUCCCUCAGUCUUGGCUCAACCUUCCUACAUGGAAAGACCUCUGUCAACUCCGAAGCAUCUGCUUCAAAGCAGGUAUGCAGGGAAAAACAUUUAUAUCCUUAUAAGGCAGUGAAAUCCAAAUUAAUGACAAUAGACAUUGAACAUCACUGACUGAGCUACUAGAACAAUAUUUUAUCUAUAUAUCCAUUUAUAAAUGUAUUUAUAUAUAAAUUACACAACUUUUCAUCAGGUUAUCCACGGUGUUGUGCAUGCGUGCCAACAUGUGCCCGGCUUUUGGUGUCCACACACGCUUGCAUAUACUCUGACAUAGCCUACCUACUCAUCUGUGUAAGGGAUCAUUUUCAGGUGAAACCCUCCCAGAUUUCCUGGAGCUCAAACCUCUUCUGUUAGGGAAGACCCUGUUGUCGUGGCAACAUUCUUCAAAACACUCCCAAUUCCUCUGGGCUUGUCCGAGCAAGAUGACGCCAGUGCUGGGAGCACAUGCCAGUGUCUCUCAACUCCCAACAGCCCUUGUUAGUAAAUAGCCUAGAGACCCAGCGAAUGCAAGCGAGCGAUCUGCAUCUUUCCUGCUUCAAUUCCCCCAUUCGGCGUAAGUGUGUGAGAUUGCCAUGUGCAGCAGGAGUGUGUGCAGAAGCAGAUAAGGACAGUCGUCACAAUCCACCACUAGUACUUCAACUUUGGGAGGAGUUUGGAGGGGCACCCACUCUCACCAAGAUGCAGUCCAACACGUUGGCGCUGGAGCUUUUCCAUAUGAUGACACACUCACUGGAGAGCUUCACCCACAACCCCUUCCUCUCUGUUCCCACACUUCCCCCUCUCCUUCCUCCACUUAUUUUAACCAUCAAGUGCUUCAGCAGAUGGCUCUAGGUUCAAUAACAACAACAGCAGCAGCAGCGGCAGCGCAUGGUGGGGGCCCUCCUGGAGAGCACACAUAGACCCUACAGACAGCAUCUGUUUAUGAAUGGGCCAACAAUUGCCCAUCCCCCCCGGCGGCUACAGCUGACAGAGGGAGGAGGCGCGACAAGUCACCGAAUCAGAAGAAGAGAUAAAGAAGAACAGGCAGUCAGAAGAAGAGGGGGGAAAGAAAAAGGCAAAAAAAAAGUUUGAACAAGAUGUUUUAUUAACGUAGCGAAGACAACACAGACUGCAUUCAAAGACUGACACAUUACCAUAGAAACAUUUCCUAUAUGUUGUUCAUUUUAUUUGACCAAUAGUCUAGAACAUGAGGCAAGUGAGGAUUUAACAAAAAAAAAAAAGAAAAAAAGAAAAAACAAAUAUCUUAUUUCUGACUUUAACAAAACUGCACAAACUGUAGCAUUUUGAGGUCUUCCACAACAACCACUGAGAAAAUACCCUCAUGUGUCAUAAAUUUCACCUCUUCCUUGCUUCAGCAUGCUGACCACGUGCUUUCAGUUUUCAUCCUUUAAUGAGUCUGUUAAUGUAAAACUGUAAUAAAUCAGGACAGCUACACAAGAACCAUCCUCCCGUGUUAGAAAGUCACAGGUGUUGUUUUUGUCCUCGGUCCAUCUUUAUAAAGUUAAGCAUAUGCAAACUACAGCUGGAAUAUUCAAUGAUUUUAGGUGUUGCAGGAGUUCUUUUAAACUCUGUUUAACAAAGAAAUUACUGGAAGGCUGUGAAUAAGCCAGUCUGACACGUUCUGACUUGGAGGACUUCAUACGCUAUAAUAAAACCACAAUGUCAGGAUUCUUUUGAGUCUGAAAAGAUCAACAUUUACUUUGUUUUGUCCACAAAAUACACUUUAGAGCUAUUUUCAUUCUGUGCCACAAACAAUUUCAGACAGAAAAGGCUCUAAUUUUUACUGUAACGUACACGUCAGCCGACUGCUGAAGCAGGACUGCUCUCCCAAAAUAUCUGACCUCUAAAUAUGGUCUUUUUUUUUUGUUUUUUUUCCUUCAAGUGGAUAAGAUAAGCUGGAGAGCUCAUGCCAUUAAUAAGCACACACUUUUCGUUUUUUCCAUAUUGAGAAAAACAAAGGAAGGAAGCCAAGAGAUUAAAAGAGUAGCAGUCAGAUGAAAAGAUGUGCAAAACUGCAAUAGUUGUAAUUCGGUAACUAAAACAGAUACACGUUUUAUUUAACUACGGAAAUGUACGCAAGACAGUGGAAGUGGGUUUUUACUACAUGUCCUUAUUCAACCUCCAUUACUUUUCAUGAAUUUCUCUGUUAACCAUAAGAGGAAGUGCUACAUUGAGUUGUUUUCAAAGGAUGAAAGCCACUUUUACUCCUGUAAGCUUCACAGUAAAGCACAAAUUUUGCUGCCACCCACUUGCCCUCACGGUGAACUCCUUCACGCCUGCUAUCAAAUAAAGCUGUAACACUAAAAAUAAUCAAACUAUAUCUGGAUUUCUGAGGAGGAAGAGAACAAAAAUUGGAUUUUAGCUUUAGACUACUGCAUCCUGAGAUAUGGUAGUCGUCACACAGUGAAGCUGGAGCAGUGAAUAUUGACUGCAUGUGCAGCCUUAAACAGCAGAGAUGAAUCCGAGCACACACCCACACCCACUUCUGUCCCUUAAGAACAAAAGCCAGAAGGUGGUCGCGUGGCUAAUUUACAUGGACAUCAUUUGCAUCAAUUUGCAUUAGUAUGUUCUCACAGAGGCUCGACACUGGAGGCUCCCUGCAGGAAAACCAUCACUCAAUUAGGGAAUGAAAAUGAGCAAGUCCCCAUCACAAACAGGAGAACAGCAGAGGCUUUGUGAGCGAGACGGUGUGACACUUCCAGCCGAGCUGAUUUAAAUCUGUAGUUUCAUGCAGUCAAAAUGAGGCCGGUUCAUUUCAGGUCACGGUAACUUGAGAGGGAGGAAUAUGAUAUUAAAUCAAGCUGCUGGUAACGGGAGGGCGAGUUUCAGAUUUAAGGGUUGUUUUUCAUUUUAAUCAGGCAAAUAUAUAAGUUUAAAAUGAGAAAAAAUGAAUUCUUGCCUUUUUUGGCAAUAGGUGAAGUCAGUAAAACUGAUCAUUUCUAACUAAUAUAUUAAGUUAAGGCAUUUUGUUAGGAGGUUUUAAAAGCUCAAAGUGAGUCUAAAAAUACAAUGAGACCUGCGGUUUUAUAAAAACACUGUCCCGUUUCUAAUAACCUACAAUGCAAGUUAUACUAGUGUGACUCAAACUUCACUGAUGCAGCUCAACAGCUUGUUUAUGUAAAACUGGCUUUGUGUGGCUGCCACCCUGUCUGAGCCUGCACGCGUCAAAUUCAUGAAAUGCUCCGUUUCGGUCCUUUUGCUUCUCAUGACCAUCUACAGGUGUGGCUUUAUAGCUCAGAGGUCCAAUGGUCAACUACCUGAGCUUCCACCACUACAGCAACAAUGUAGCAAUGUUGCAACCUCAUGAGACUUUAUAGCUCUGCUGUAUUAAAUUCCAAACAUGGCAGUCUAAACUUAGCCAUUUCAGCAGUGAGUCAUUUUGAGCGCUCCUGCUUUAACACUUCUUAAACCUCUUGUGAAACUCUUUUAGACAACAGUGAAACAUAUUUAUAGAAUAAUUUGGAUAAGGGACCCAGACAGCCAAAAAUAAAGAGAAGCGAGACAGCAGAUCCAAAGGAAAUAACACUACUCACAACCAAUUACACAUUGUGUUAAGAUUACAAAUACAAAAAAAAGGAUAAAUGCAGUGAGGUGGACUUAUAAAUAUCCCAGACUUGUAUGGGAUGUCUGUGUAUACAAACUCUCUCAGUCAAGUUAUGCUCAUACAUAACUAAGGGGCUUUAAAGUGAAAGUGCGUCACAGUCUUUGUUCUUUCCUUGAGGGAUGUAAUCCCCACCGGUGCCUCAAAAGUAUCAACUGUUCAUACUCUUCCUUUUCUUUCUAGAAGGAAAAAAAAAAUCAAACACCAUCUGUAAACUUGAGGCUAUCAUUCAGGACAUCGAAGCAAAACUGCCUUGACAAACACUCCACAGUUGUCAAGUUAAAAGUUGACACCGUUUUAAACACGCUUAACAGGAUCUUAGGUCCAUGUAGAUUCAUUCAAAUGAGUUUAUAUUUAAGUGGAUGAAUUAUUUCCACUUCCAUGCCUUCAGUAGCAGUCACUCCCACAUACACAGCUGGAAAAUAUGCUUCACUGCUGGGAAAAUGUGAAACAUCAUCAAUGAGCUUUAGCAACCAUCUCCAAACAAUCCACCUAACAAAGCUAUGAGACCAUUGUGGAGGGUGGAGAAUUUACAGUGUAAAUGUAAAACAAGAUGCCCCCAAACAAGACUUAAACCUAAAAAACAGAAAACAUGAAGCACGGCCACUGGGAUGCAUUGAUAACUAGUUGUGGUCCACAGCUCUAUUGUGUGUCUGCAUGUAGACCAGCACAAUGAGCUGCACAAACACCUCUCCACACACAAAACUCUGGACUCUGGCUUCUCGUUUAGCGAUUUUAAAACAGCAAAGCUUACUCAGCACAAUGUGGCCUAGACCAACCCAGACCCUCCAAUUCAAUUCAAACGGAACUGCAUGUGCUUGCAUAAGCAGGAGCUGCCCAUCCAGUGUCCCCCUGACCCACCCACGCACAACCCGCUAAUAUCCCACCACACAGAGGUACAACCUGCUGUCAUCCAAAGAGAAGUGACUAGAAAGCCGACAAACCGGCACCCUUGCAUUUGUACACUGAAACGCUGCUUUCUAAAAAAAAAAAAAAAAAAAAAAAAAAAAAAAGAAAGAAAAAAGAAAAAGCUAAAACCACUUGUGUGAUGGUCAGUGAACAGAGAAGCAUUUACACUCACUUGCUGUGAAUUCUGUCCGACAUUACACAAGACUUCGGGCCAGCAGUCUGAACAGACAAUUAAUGUCUGUUUAGAUAUACAGGUCCUUUUUUAGUGUCAAGAAACAUCCAGGGAUGCACUGCAAGCAUGAAAACAGCCCAAUUCGCGCAAUAAGUACACUUAAGAGGCCACACCUCCUAAUCUUGGAAUCCAGAUGUUUUCAGUCUCAUUUCAACAGGCACAUAAAAAUCAAGCACCUAGCCAUGCAGUCUGGCUUUACAAAUAUUUGGAAAAUAACGGGUCGUUCUAAAGUGUGGUUCUGUAAUACGAUGUCACCACUGCAACCAGCUAGAAACCACAGCGGCUCAGCCGUUAAGCGGCAGACCACAUAAAAUUACAGAGCAAAAUCAGCGAAUGCAUAAAAGUCACCAAUGCUCUGCCGUCUGAGCAACUUCAGAGCUCCAAACCUCCUCUGGCAAUGACAUCAGCACAAAAACAGAGUGCUGGGAGCUUCAUGGCAUAGGUUUUCGUCACCAAGCAGUUCCUGAAGGUGGCCCACUACUUUCGAUCAUACAGGGUACAACCUUCAUGAAAGUAGCAUUUAAAGCCGCCACCAAAGUUUUUGAGGGAAUUUUUUUUUGCCAUUUUGCAUGUACAUCUAAUGCAAAGGUGGACUAAUAGGAUACAUUAGCUAUGGCUGCAGCAUUUGUAAUCUGGCGCUUGGGCCUAGCAUAACUUCAGUUUUGCACCUUUGAUCCAGGAAGACGAUAUUUCGUCCCACUGUUUACUUAAGUGUAUAUUGUUGGGUUGGCAAUAAAACUCCAUUUGACUUGCA